rnacentral:lncRNA from 1 species
AUUGGAUGUCCCCACUUUUGCGUGAUUUCUUUUUCCCUUGCAUAUUUUGUCUCUUCAAACCAAAUUAACAAAAAAAAAAAGAGAAAAAAAUGAGAGGCAGGGUCUUGUUCGAGGAAUAGGGAUGAGCUAUUGUUUGCUGAGCAGAGUUCGCCACCACUAUUGUGGUGGCUAAAUUUCUUCAUCCGAAAAGCACGGUGAAGUUUCUUCAUUUUUUGGGUUAUCUGAUCUUGUUCUCCAAUUAAUUGGGUAUCCAUGAAACAAACAUAGAACACACUCUCAUCUCAGGAGCAACUUAAACAAUUGAAGAACUCAUUCUCAUUUCAGACAUUUCAUUCUCUAGAAUCAUUAACCAUGGAAAAUGAUGGAUAUUGUGA